GAGGAGACGUUCGCCAUUCUGCGGCAUUCUCAAAUGAAGUUCAACUCUAGCAAGUGCGUAUUUGGCGUCACCUUCAGCAAAUUUUUGAGCUUUAUGGUAUCGCAAUAGGGAUUGAAGCAAAUUUCGAAAAGAUUCAAGCUCUCCAAGAGAUGAAACUUUCGAAGACAAUCAAAGAGGUACAGUGACUGGAGGAUCGUGGCUC
rnacentral:lncRNA from 1 species